GGAGCCCUCUGUUCUCUUGUCCUGCGCUCCCCACUGCAUUUAUUGGACUGAGGUGUGACUGCCCCAGCUGAGAUCCACACCAUCCCUGGCUGUUGGAUGAUCCCACAGAGCACAGCAGGUGCAGCUGCUGCAGAACGCAUUGUGCUCAGACCUCAGCUCCAGCACAACGAGCAGCAUGGCUGUAACAGCGCAGCUCUGUGCCGGGCUGCCUCAAUGUAUUUCUCAGUGUUGUGGGCAGCUUUACAGCCCACACUGUUUCAUGCAGCUGUGACUGUUACUAGCUCCCCAGACAGCAGGUUGGGACCCUCCUGAGGUAUGAGGUGAAGUACGGACUCGUUUGUGUGUUUAUGUAACACCCCUGUGAUCUUUAAUGUGUUCAGCAUUAGGCAGCGGUAUUAGAUCUACUUUGUACAAAGGGUGCAAGAAACACAAAGUACUGAGACAAAAGGCUUCUGAUUUCUCAUGCUCUUGGCCUCCUUACCCACGCAGCCUUUCCCAUCAGCGUUUAUGCAGCUCUGCCUCUGCAGCUGCCUGCCACAGUGCAGAAGCUCACUGCUCUGCAGCUCUGCUGAUGGAUGCAGCCGUGACAAACCAGCACGCUGUCCCACAGCCCUGCAAAAAGAUCUUCACAGAUUUUAGGGCCUUUUAGCCUUCAUAAAAAACAGAAUGUGUCCAGCGUACCAUGGCAGUCUCAAAUCACUUCUGAAACAGCAGCUGGUGCUCUGUCUAUUCUGUCUCUAGAGAGUCACCUGGCACGCCACUGGAAUGCACACCUUGCAUGGCAGGACGGGGAGCUCUCCUCAUUUCUGUUCUUGCUAUCCCAAACCUAACAGUCACUAGGGCUGACUCCUGCACUGUGCCAUCCUUCCUUUGCUCUGGCUAGAGCUUUUCUUCUAAGCAGUCCUGGAAAAGAGUCUGAGAACGGACUCAUCUACAGAUGAGAUGGAUCAAAGCCUUGUGCCAAGCACUGCUGGAGGAUUUGGGGAGCUGCUCAGGUGCCAGCCCUGGUCCAGCUAGAGGUGGCCGGGAAGAAGCAGGGGCCUCCUCACACCAACCCCACAGCUCUGUCAGGAGCUACUCAGGCCUUGGCUCUUGCUGCUGCCAAAGCUGUGGUUGAUGGCUCCUGCAGUGGAAAUCCACACUCCUCUCAGCCUCCCCCUGCUUUUGCAAGGCCUCCUCACUACCUUGGCUAUGCGGUGGGUAGGCUACGUGGUGUACGACAGCACGCAGCAGGCUGCAGAGCCAGAGUGGUGGGAGGUGAAGACUGUCACCAUAAACUGUCACCAGGUGUGUCCUGUCCCCGUGCUCGGAGGAAGCCAGGGAGACCUGCUGAGGGUCGGCCUCACAUCUACAAGGCCAUGUAAUCUCACUGCGGUCAACAGUUGUGGUGGUGGCAAGGAGAGCCAAGAGGCAUCUACUGAGCUAACAAAACUUCGGUUUACUGGAAAGGGAAGAAGGGUUUUUAGGGGCCUGCCAAAAGGAAGCUUGGUGUAACAGUGACUCAAUGUCUUGUAUAGAAGUCUGGGAGGCUGCAGGGCUCUGCAGGCAAAAGCCCUGUAGCAGUGAUGUUUGGCAGCAGCUACAUCCAAUUACAAAAUCACUAUGCUAAUUAUUGUGCUGUCCCUUAAUAGCCCUGAACAGUCUCACCUGGGCUCCCCACACUUGCCCAUGGCUCUAUUUAAGCUCACACCAAGGCUCUCAGCUCUUUUUCACUUUUGGUGCGGCCAUGCUCACCUCUAGCCUCUCCUCUGGUCAUAUUACUGGGAUGGACAUCAGCCUUACAGUGCAGGAUCCUCCUACAGGCAGCGGGCAGAGAAGCAUUGUGCUGACCCUCCUACCUGACCCUGUCUCAUCAGUCCUGCAACGUGUGCAAGGAGUCGUGUCAGUCUGCAGAUCCCACCCAGUGUUGCCCAGUGAUUGCAUCCUGUACCGCCAAGCAUCGAGCCUUUGGAAUGGAGGGUGACUGGAAGGCGGAUGGAAACGUGCAAGAGAGCAGAAACACAAAUGUUUGGGCAGACCUGGAAAACGCUUCCCACAGCCGACCACGCAGCUGCAGCUCGUGCCAAACGCUGUUUGCUUUCUGGGUGAUGGAUUUUUCGUAAGGGCUAAGUUGCUGGAAUAGCUCAAAGUGAGCAUCGCCUCUGCUCUGCAUAGCCCUGGCCACAGCUGGCGCAGAGCUGGGUGCUGGGUGCUGGGUGCUGGGGCAGCAGCGUUAUGCUCACAGUGUUCGUGUGAUCUCAGGACACCGCCGACAUCCCUGUGCUGGCACCGAGGGGGGAUGUGCCCGGCGGCGGGGACGUGCCCUUGGUCCCCAUCUCAGUGAUGACACUGCAGAGUCACUCCAUACGAGCGUGAUCGGAGCCACGCCGGAGCCCUGCAGGUUCAGUGGGACAAUGGGCAGCUCUGGGUGCAGCACACGAGGUCUUCCUGCAGGUUUCCUGCAGGCUGCCCUCGCCCCAUCCGUGGCCCUGGGACACACAGCCCGGCCAUGCUGUCGUGCUGCAGAUGGGAGCGGGUCCAGCACUGGGGCUGGGGAGGGAGGGAGAGCAGCAGCCCUGGGGGGGAACAGCGUCCUUCUCCCAUUCCCCUGUCGGGGGCUGAUCACAUGUGCCCGUGCUGGAAUGUAAAGGAUAUCUACGCACUUUUUGUUGAAAAGCACAAAAUGAAACCUAGCCUUGUUCAGUCUCUCCCUUCCUUUCAGCCUUUUCGGCUAAUAAUAGGCACAUGUAAGCGAUUAACAUAACCUCGUGUGACUUCCCCAGUGUUUGUGCAAUCCUCGACAUGUGCUUUAUCUUCCAGGCACCAAGUGAAUGCGUUUGGCACUUCUUGCAGAGCAGCUUUGCCAUCCAGCUGGGAUGCUGGGCAGCCCCUAUGGCAGCCCCCUGUGCUCUCCAAACCCAAAGGGGAUCACUCACUUUGUUCUGAUCAUAAACACCUUUUAAAUUUCAUGGUUUCAUUUUCAAGGUAAUUGAAUUCAGCUUCCACGUGCAGGAACGCGGGGAAAAACAGCCAGGAGAGCCUGAAACUGUUCAGGAGUACGGAGCUAAGCUGAGCUUGUCCUGCAGGUUGAGCUGAGGCCUUCUCCCUCCUUUCUACCCAGCAGCUUCAGCAACUUUCCCAGCCUCAGGCUCUGUCCUCUUUGCAGGAUGCUCUGGACCCCACCUGGGGCUCAGCAUCACAGCCCAGGAUCCGUGCCCAGAGCAGCGGUGACAGCAGCUCCUGGCUGAGGGACUGUCCCUAAUGCCAGGGUUGUCCCCAGUAUCAUGGCUGUCUCUAAUGUCAGCAGUGUUUGAUUCUUUGACUUGUGACAUCUGUUGGCAUGAAAACUCUUAAGUUUUGCACUCCAGCUCUGCUUGCAGCCACCCUCGCUUCUCUCCUCCCCCGUAAGCACAGGGUUGCUGCUUUUGGAUAACAGAGGCUGCAGCUCUGAGGCAUUGCUGAAAAUGCAAAUACAACUUCUGACCUCAGCAAGGAGCAGCGUUUUGCCUGAGUUGGAGGUCAGCAGCUCCACAGUCACUGCCAUCUCCCUCUGAUAUCCCUGCAGCCUCCUCAGAGAAAAGCCCUUUUUCUUCUCAAAAAGUCCCAAUCCACGUGACAUUUUUCCUAUUCCAUGUUAUUUACACCUUGGACAAGGCUUGCCCUUUAGAAAACACCUCUCCCUGGUGCAGUGUUCCUGUAUUCCCAUGGCUGAGCUUUUCUUGCAUCUUGCUUUGACCACGUAACAGCAAAUCUCUGCUUUCUCAUGCAGAUUAUCAACACUGAGCCCCACAGCUGAUGUGGGGUAACCCAAAGCACCCCCCACCCUCCCUGCCCCAUCAGAGCUCCCUUUGCACCUUCCCCCCAGCAACCUGUACUGCACAAAGCCACCGCGGCUCCAUCCCAUGCCCAGAUGGUGGGCGAUGGGUGGACAGUUGGAACAGAUGAUCUUCAGUGCUCUUUUCCAACCUUAAUUAAGGAUUCCACAAUGGGUUUGCAAGGAGGAAAAUGCAGAGCGGAACUGGGGCUGGGUGGGGUCUGUGGGGCAGCACCAGAGCUCCCAAGCCCAGGGCUGGGGUCUGCCUGGACCGCACCCGUGGUUUUCUUCAGUAGACACGGGAAAAUCUGAUUUGUUGCUGCGUGUCUGUAGGUCUGAAAAUGUAAACUGUAGUAAAGUAUCUGCUUAUAGCGUGACCUCUGAACCCGAGGCUUCUCUCUGCUCUGGGGUGAAUUCCAGCUAACCACUGCGCUGCUGUGUUUACAAGAAAAAUGCAUGUUGUCUGCGUUCUCAGGGCCACUGCUUGCUUCGUUAACAACAUUCUUUGGGAAAAGAGGGCGAGCCAGCCCCACUGCCCUGGUACAGCUGUCGUAUGUUCCUGUUCCUCUCCUUAAAAAAAAAUCAAAAAAAAAAAAAAAAAGAAAGGAAGAAAGGAAAGAAAAAGAAGCGGCAGGACAGGCAGGCAGGCAGCCCUUGCAGAAGGAUGCUGGCUCCCCACUGUGGCAACGAGCGUGAGCUUACUGGGGCUGCAUCCCAGCUGGGGGUGCGACGGGCGGCAGCGGGGUGCAGCACCCAGCCCUCAUCCUGCAGGAGCUCCAUGGGAUGAAUCGUGCCUCCUGCAACGCGGGCACUUCCCCACGGCCCUGCAGGCAGGGUGCUGUGCUGCUGGUGCUGGGUCCCAGCCGCGCUGAGCGGUGUGGCUGGUGGAGCUGUGCGGCUCCGUCCUCGAGGGAGAGCCAAAAACGACGACUGUGAAAUCAAAACAUCGCAGAUGCUCCUUAUUGGCGCUGCUGACAUGGGGAAGAGAAACAGAUGCUUCUGGUCUGGGUGUCUGUCCGGCCUGAUUUUAGGAAAAUCUGUGGAGUAGCGGGAGAAAUAAAACAAGGAUUGAGCUGUGCAGUCCGACACAUCUCCGGUGUUGGACGCUGAAAAUCCCUGGUGUGAGGCUGUGCUGGGUGCCAGCCUGCGAGGAGCACCGUGGGCUGAGGAAAUGGCAUCGCCCAGCAGACAGCCCCUGGCACAGGGAUGUUGGGUGGCACUGGCUUUGUGGCCAGGGAAGGUAAAACUGGAGCAACGCAUUAAGCAGAGCUGCUGGCUGUGCCUGGAGAAAGAGGGUCUGAAAAACAGGGUGGGGGCGAGUGUGAUGGCUGGCUGUCCUUCCUCCCCUGAAUACCAUGCAGCCUCUAAAAUACCACACAGCCUCCAAAGUGAUUAAGGUCACAUUAUUUGUACCCCGAUGGUGAGAAUUUUGAUUUUGUACGUAAGUAAUUUUAAUUUAUUCUUACAAGAGAGGGGAAAAAAAAACAACUCGUGUGAAGAGUCUUGCCAGUCUGGGUGGGACCGUCCGACCACUCCCACUGUACAGUCCAGGUUUGGUGCAUCCAAACUUCCACCUGCUCGGCCCAGAUGCCUUCCUAGCAAUGACUCCACCACAGCAGCCAUGGAACAGCGGUCUCCUCCGCUGCUGCAGAUCUGUGUGAGCUCACCACGCAGGCUCUUGCUCAUCACUGGUGCAAAUGCAGAGCUCACGGCGGUGGCUGUGCUGAAAUAUCGCGUUUGGUAGCCGAGAAUUUGCUCUACCUACAAAACAGUGCCACCGUGCUCUUUGUAUCCGUUGCAGCUUCCAUGGCAAUAAAUAGGAGGCAUUACUUUGGGGGCGAACCAGGUAAAACAGGAGGCAUUAGCUUGGGAGCAGCCCUCGGACGCGGGCAAAGAGAGGCUUUCCUCUUGCCCCGAGGUAGCAGCGGGGUUCUUGGGACGGGCGGUGCUGAGCUGAGCCCCGUGCUGGCAGCCGGUGCGCAGCAGAGGGCACUCGCUCCCCGGCCGUGCUGCUCGGAGCUGCUGGCAGCUGCGAAGGCUGGAGGGUUUGGGUUUUUUUUUGUGUGUGUGUGUGUGUUUUUUUAAAAGGAUGUAACUUUUGUUCUUCGUUUCCAGAUAAAAAUCUCAAUUUGUAGUUUGGGCAAGGCUUCCUGUAGGCAAAAACGGGACUGUUCAUUGAGAACUCCAGAGCUCCGGCCAGCCCUGGCAGCGCACGCGGCUUCACAGCCAGGCGUGUGCUCGCAUACUCACGCUUUCCAAGCACUAAGCUGCUCAUCAGCCGGCUCAUCCCAGCCUCUCCUCCUGCAUUAGGUGUGCAGGCAGCCCCCAGCCAACGAGCAGUGACAUCUGGGGGCUGUGUCACCCCAGCAUCCCCCGUAGCGAGGCCCUCAGUGCCUGGCUGCUGCUGCCAGGCGCAGCUAUUGCUGAGCACAGGAACUGUAGGAAGUGCCCGAGCACAUCAGGCUCUGCACAGCCUUCCUGCUGCCCCCCAGGAGAGAAACCUGCUGCAUUUAGGAGCCCUUUGCAGGGUACAAACUGAACCCCUUCUUCUUUUGCAGUGCUCUCACUAAGCGUUAUUGCACGAUGGAGAUGCGUAUCAUGCAGCUCUUCAA